rnacentral:rRNA from 1 species
CCUACGGGAGGCAGCAGUGGGGAAUAUUGCACAAUGGGGGAAACCCUGAUGCAGCGACGCCGCGUGAGUGAAGAAGUAAUUCGGGAUGGAAAGCUCUAGCAGCAGGGAAGAAAAGGACGGUACCUGAGUAAGAAGCCCCGGCUAACUACGUGCCAGCAGCCGCGGUAAUACGUAGGGGGCAAGCGUUAUCCGGAUUUACGUGGUGUAAAGGGAGCGUAGACGGCAGUGCAAGUCUGGAGUGAAAGGCGGGGGCUCCACCCCCGGACUGCUCUGGAAACUGUACGGCUUGAGUGCAGGAGCGGUAAGUGGACUUCCUAGUGUAGCGGUGACAUGCGUAGAUCUUAGG